UUUUUAAAAAGAUUUUUAUUUAGAGAGAGAGAGAGGCAGAGAUACACAGGCAGAGGGAGAAGCAGGCUCCAUGCAGGGAGCCCGAUGUGGGACUCGAGAUCUCAGGUCUCCAGGAUCACACCCCAGGCUGCAGGCGGCGCUAAACCGCUGCACCACCAGGGCUGCCCUACAAAUGCAUGAUUAAAAGAGAACCAACCAACCAACCAACCAACCAAGUGCCAUCCCCACCCAAGAACAGUGCCAAAGCCCCAAAACUACCUGACACUCUUUUCUUCGACAGCAUGUUGGUGCUCAGUGGGUAAGGUGGACCUGGAGCCUGCAGCCUGACCUAUACUGAUGCUGAGUGUCUGGGAAAGGAAACUUCAGCUGCCAGGAAGCUCAGAACUAAAUCCGAUGCAAGCCUGUGGGUCAUUCAAGGUUGGUUCCUGAUUCAUUUCUUCUUCUUCUUUUUUUUUUUUUUUUUUUUUUUUUUAGUGGUUUCUAAUGCUUUGCUAUUAUUUCCACUGCCCUAACUUAUAAUAUAGGCCACCUCCAGUCCUUUAAAAAUUUGUAAUUUUUUUUUUUAAGUUUUUUUUUUUUUAAUUUUUAUUUAUUCAUGAUAGGCACACAGUGAGAGAGAGAGAGAGGCAGAGACACAGGCAGAGGGAGAAGCAGGCUCCAUGCACCAGGAGCCUGAUGUGGGAUUCGAUCCCGGAUCUCCAGGAUCACGCCCUGGGCCAAAGGCAGGCGCCAAACCGCUGCGCCACCCAGGGAUCCCCAAGAAUUUGUAAUUUAUAGAACUGGCAUAAAGGAUCAUCAUUAAGGCCAUUCUCAAAUGUCCGUCUAGUGGUUGGCGAAGAAACUCACCCUCUCUGAGUCUGCCCUGUGGGGCUGGAAGAGUCUGUCUGCUGUCCACUCACCGUUCAUCGCUCCCACCCAGGGUCUGUGGGGUCGUCACCACCUGUUGUCUGGACACUUGUUCUCCCUGGACCUUCCUCCUUUAUCGAUCUGUAUCAUCUCCAGCCUCCCUCUUGGAAGGAAUUAAGCUUGAUGGUGUCUGAGGCCUCUUUCCACGACAGCAAAGCAGCAGCAGCAGAUGGUAUGAAGCUCAGAAUCUCCAAUGAAGCCAUUUGCUGAGCCCAGGUGCCCAUCUGGUGCCAGCAUCAUCCAGCCAACCCUCAUCGUGGCAGGCCCAUGAGUGCUGGUCUCGGGCCCAAAGUUCUCAGAAGAGGGAGCUGAAUGGGAAAGAGGGGGACUGAUAUCCUGAGGCCACGGAGUUACCAGUGCUGAGAUUCACCUGGGUGCUGGCGCAGGACACACUCAUAAACACUAGUGUCCUGCUGAGUGGAACGUCUGUGGAGUGGACCCCUGGCCUCCUGGACCUAGUGUGGCUCUCACCCUACUGAGCUGUCUGCAUGUCAGUGACUGUCUCCUUCUGUCUGGACCUUGGUGGGCCUGCAAAGCUGAAUGCUGAUUCGUGAUCCUGUCCAAGGGUGAGGACGGCACCAGCCCCAAGCCUUCCUGUGACUGGUCCUCACACACCUUGGGAGUCCUCUUCAUUCGGCAUCAAUCUCCUGGCCCCAGUCAGGCCCCCCCAGCUUCUUAAAUCCCUGAGAGGGGGAGGGGGAAAGUGGGAACCCAGGUUUCAAAGAACACAGGUUUUCUGAAAUGAGGAAGAGGUCCCAAAUAAAGCAACAAUGGAAAGCUACUCACUGUGGUCUGUGGGCUGAGCUUCCUGAUCCUGCUGGGUGCUGAGGAGUCCUGGUAGUUGUGCGUUAAGGAGCUGGCCCUGGGUCCCAGUCAGAGCUACUGUUCAACAGCCACCCAAGUCAGCUUUCUCUUGCUUUUACUCUUUUUCACAGAUGAGUGAGCAUGAGGAGGUCUGGCCUUCCGUCCCUCUCACCACUUCCCCUCUGGGUCCCCAGUACCACAGCAUUCUGUCCCUGUAAUUGUGUUAUUUCUCACAAGGAACUCUGACCAGGGAGGGGAGGGGCAUCUGUAUAGCCCCUGGAGUCAAGGGACUUGAGUUCUAAUCCCAUGUAGCUCUUAUGACCUUGAGCAAUUCACUUAAUCUUCUUAAACC
rnacentral:lncRNA from 1 species